rnacentral:piRNA from 1 species
GGCAAAGUUUUCAAGAGUUUGU